CCUCCUCAAGAACUUGCCGCUGCUGCGCUCCACUCUGUGCCACUUGUCGUUCUUGUCCUCCUUCUCUACGUUCCUCUCUCCGCUGAUCUGAAGCACCCUGUUGUCUUCAACCUCCACCUUCACCUCUUCUUUCUUCAGCCCCGGAAGGUCUGCCUUGAACAAGUGGGCUUCCGGGGUCUCCUUCCAGUCGAUCCUCGUGUUCAGGAAAGCUGAAUUUUCCCGGGAAAAUUUAGGGAAUGUGGAGAGUGAUGAAGAGGAAGGGAAUGGGAAAUCCUUGAAUGGGUCCCAGAUAUCGAGAGAGGAAGGGUCGAAAAUGCUGCCUCGUCGGAAGCUGGGAAUGAUCGACAUUGGAAAAAUUGAUGGGUUUUGUUUGGAUGCUAAGAAAGUUUGAGAAUUUGAAUCGUUAAAGAGAAUUGCUGCUUUGCUUGAUUGGUUUGGGAAAGUAGAGGAUUGGUUAGGUAUUUAAAAAGAAGCCAAGAAUAUUCUAGUGAAGACUGGGCCUUGCAAACGCUUCUGUGAUUUUCUCUGGAAAAUUCUAGGAUUGCCUAGAAUCUGUGGGCGGGGCUUCUUUGUGGGCUCAUAACACAGUUAGAUGAGUGAUGGACCACUGGACUUCAAAAUUCACCCAACCUACCCAGCACCAUUUUUGUAAAUUUUGAAAUUCACUUUUACCCUUCAAAGAAAAUUAAAAACUAAUGCGAUUCAUACUGAAGGAACAUAAUAUAAUGUGCAGAUGCAUUAUGCUUCUUAUCAUUAGAGGUAGGCAUCAAUCCGGCCGAAUCGAUGAAACCAGCCGAAUCAAACUAUAACUACUGGUUUGGUUUGGUUUUGAUCAAAAAAAAGUCAAACGGUUUAAAAACCAAAUCGGACUGUAUAUGGUUUGGUUUUGAGCUUUUGUAAACCAGCCUAAACCAAACUGGACCGUUUAUGUGUAUAUAUUUUUUUUUUUUUUUUUACAUGUGUAAUACUCUAAUUAGUUAAUUACUAUAUAUGAAAAUUUGAAUUGAGCUAUAUUAGUUAGUGAAAUAUGAAGUUUUAUGAAUUUUGAGCUUUAGGAUGGUUUCAUACUCUAAAAAAUGAAUUAUGUAUGAAGCAAGUUGUUAAUUUGUUGGUUAAAAUUGGGCAAACAAUGUUGAAAAAAUGCAAAAAGAAAGAGAAUUGGACUUAGGCUCAAACCGGCCGAGCCAAACCGUCUUAAAUUAGUUUGGUUUGGUUCAGUUUUCUUUAUAACUUUUAUUCAAACCGAAUCAAACCAAACCGUCAUAUUAUAAUUGAUUCGGUUGUAGUUAUGAGGUAUAACCGAUCCAAUUUGGACCGUGCCCACCCCUACUUAUCACCCUCAAGUAGCUAUUUUAAAGAAAAUGUGGGGUCUCCCUAUUCCCCCUGAAGUCAAAAUUUUCUCAUGGUUACUUAUCAGGAAAAGGCUUCAAGUCCGAAACAAUUUACACAGCUUCCUACCCCAGAUUAACCCUGAGUGCCCCCUCUGCAAUGCUCGCAGGGAAAUCAUUACUCACCUCUUCUCAACUUGUCCCUUUGCUCAAAGUGUUUGGAGUUGUACCAACCUGGCCCCUGCGAUUUCUUCUCCAAAUUUUGACUUUCUCACCUGGUUGGGUACGCUACCUUCUACUACUACUUCUAGAGGCCCUGACAUUCUUUCCAAAGCUCUACUGCUAUGUUGGUAGAUCUGGGAAACUAGGAAUAACCUGAUUUUCAAAGACAUCAACCCACAUCCUGUUUGUGUGCUUACUAUGGUUGGGCAGGUUAGUUUAGACUAUUAGCACCAAAAUUGCAAGAAGGUGGAGGGACCUAAAACACCUCUUCAUAUUAAAUGGGAAUCCCCCAAGUGAAUGGGUCAAAUUGAAUUUUGAUUGUUCUGUUUGGAAUGGUUCAGCGGCUACUAGCUUUGUUAUCCGAGAUUCUGAUGGUCAUAUUUUACUGGCUAGUGCUUAGAACAUUGGUGACAAUACCAUUUCUGCGCGGAAUGCAUUGCCUUACGGGAUGGCCUUGCUUAUGGGACUCAUAGAGGAUGGCGCAAAGUUCUUGUUGAAGGAGAUUCUAAACUUAUUAUUAACUGCGUAAAUCAGAAAGCUUUGACCCUGUGGAGUAUCAACCUCUUGAUUAAAGAUAUAGUGCUUAUCAGCUCCUUUUGUGAUUCUUGGUCUGUCAGUCAUGUAUUCCGUGAGGCUAAUUUCACGGCUGAUGCUAUUGCUAGCUUGGGCCAUGCACUAAAUCCUUCCAAGCUUUGGGAGGCGGCUGCCUCUGAACUGUUCAAUCCCUUUGCUACAUGAAUCAAUUCAUUAAUAUUUAAACCUGAAUUUGGACAAUUAUUGACAAAAAAAGCUUGAGUUUACAUUGAUGACAAUUGACACUCCAAAAUCAAACAAAGAAAUACAUAAUGUGAAUUGCAGUAGAGAAUACAGAGACAAUAUUAACCAGAGAUUUCAAUGGCUUUGGUUCGCCCCUGCCUUGGGAACAGUCACACUCAGAACCCAUUCUCCAACGGGAACAGUCACACUCAGAACCCCAUUCUCCAUUGCAGCCUUAAUCUCCUCUACCUUCGCAUUCUCUGGAAGCUGAAACCUCCUCAAGAACUUGCUGCUGCUGCGCUCCACUCUCUGCCAUUUGUCGUUCUUGUCCACCUUCUCUACAUUCCUCUCUCCAAUGAUCUGAAGUGCCGUCCUCGAGCUCCACCUUCACCUCUUCUUUCUUCAGCCCCAGAAGGUCUGCCUUGAACACAUGGGCUGCUGCGGUCUCCUUCCAGUCGAUCCUCGUGUUCAGGAAAGCUGAAUUUUCCCGGGGAAAAUUCAGGGAAUGUCGAGAGUGGUGAGGAGGAUGGGAAUGGGCAACUUUUUUCAAAAGAAAUAGUAUCGCCGUGCGGCUAUACUGGGGGUAGAAUUUUUUUAAAGCAUUAGUAGAGCCGCGCGGCUAUACUCUCCUUUUAAAUAUUUUUUAAAAUAGUAUAGCCGGGCGGCUAUAAUCUUGUUUCCAAUUUUUUUAAACAAAUAGUACAGCCGGUCGGCUGUACUAGGCUAAUUUUUUUAUUUUUUUAAAUAAAUAGUAUAGCCGGACGGCUAUACACCAUUUUUUUAAAUCUUCUUAUAAAUAGUAUGGGGCUAUACGUCUUCUUAUAAAUAGUAUGGGGCUAUACGUGGUUUUUUUUUUUUCCAAUUUCUUUUAAAAUUAAUAUAAGUUCAUAAAUCAUUCCGGUUAAAAACUGGGUGAAUUUUUCGACCUAGAUGGGGGAAUAUUAAAUUUCCUGAAAUCUGAGGCAUCAUUAUUUAUUUAUUGAGUCAAAAGCAAACGAAGUCAUGAUAAGAUAUCAAAAGACUAUUAAUUCAGAAACAAACGUAAAUGUAACUUUAAAUAGAGAACAUGGACGACACUUGACACUCCCAGACAGCCACACAAUGACACAAAUUCACAUGUAGAAAUAUAUCCAUCACUUUUACUUAGGCACUCUCUAUUUCUACCACAUACUCUGUGGAUGCACUACAGAACCCAGAUGAUCUUAGAUUCCUCAAUUUUAAUUAACCAGAGAUUUCAAUGGCUUUGACAUCAGGCUUCUUCACCUCUGCCUUUGGAACAGUGACACUCAGAACCCCAUUCUCCAUUGCAGCCUUAAUCUCGUUCAACUUUGCAUUUUCAGGAAGCUGAAACCUCCUCGAGAACUUGCCGCUGCUGCGCUCCACUCUGUGCCACUUGUCGUUCUUGUCCUCCUUCUCUACGUUCCUCUCUCCGCUGAUCUGAAGCACCCUGUCGUCUUCAACCUCCACCUUCACCUCUUCUUUCUUCAGCCCCGGAAGGUCUGCCUUGAACACGUGGGCUUCUGGGGUCUCCUUCCAGUCGAUUCUGGUGUUCAGGAAAGCUGAAUUUUCCCGGGAAAAUUCAGGGAAUGUGGAGAGUGAUGAGGAGGAAGGGAAUGGGAAAUCCUUUAAGGGUUCCCAGAGAUCGAGAGAGAAAGGGUCAAAAAUGCUGCCUCGUCGGAAGUUGGGGAUGAUCGACAUUGGAAAAAUUGAUGGGUUUUGUUUGGAUGCUGAGAAAGUUUGAGCGUCGAUUUGUAGUGGUUAGAGAAUUUCUGCUUUGCUUGAUUGGUUUAGGAAAGUAGAGGAUUGGUUGGGUAUUUAAAAGGAAGCCAAGAAUAAUCUAGUAAAGACUGGGCCUUGAAAACGCUUCUGUGAUUUCUCUGGAAAAUUCUAGGAUUCUCGAGAAUCUGUGGGCGGGGCUUCUUUGUGGGCUCAUAACACGCUCAUAACACAGUUAGACGAGUGAUGGACCACUGGACUUCAAAAUUCACUCAACUUUGUAAAAUUUGAAAUUCACUUUUACCCUUCAAAGAAAAUUAAAUACUAAAAAAUAAAAACCCAUGAGAUUCAAAUUGAAGGAACAUAACAUAAUAUAAAUAUAAAAACUGAAUAUGAAUCAAGAAAUGGAAUAAUUAGGUGGUCUGACAAAGUUAUUUGAGGAUUUGCAAGUUUUUCAAAUCUUUAAUGAGAUUAGUAUAUAUAUAUUUUCAUUCAUGGUGUGGUCUAGUAUCACGUGAAGAAUUAGCAUGAAUUGGGAAAAAAAAAAAAAAAUUGCGAGGCUGAAAAUAUUUCUUACUAAUUAUCUGGAACAAGGGUAAAUACGAAACACACAGCAAAAAGAAGUAGGAAAUAUAAAGGAAGGGCAAAAAAUAUGUAGUGCCCCCUUGCACAUGCAGUGAGAAAACACUAUCAUCAUCAACUUCGUCGUCUUCUUCAUUAUCCUCAUCAGAAUCAUCAUCAGUCUCCUCAUCAUCCUCCUUGAGGGUCUGGGUUGAUUCUUCUUCAUGGGUUUGUGGUUAUAUGAAUCAAUGUGUGAGUGCAAUAUAACAACGACUCUUUCAAAUUUUUCUAAAAAGAAAUCUUAGAGCCGCGCAGCUAUACCCGGGUUUCUCCUAAUUUUUCAAAAGAAAUAGUAUAGCCGCGCGGCUAUACCCGGUUUUUCCAUGCAGUGAGAAAACACUAUCAUCAUCAACGUCGUCGUCUUCGUCAUUAUCCUCAUCAUCCUCUUGGUGGGUCUAGGUUGAAUAUUCCUCAUGGAUUUGUGGUUAUAUGAAUCAAUGUGUGAGUGUAAUAUAACAACUCCUCUUGCCAACAUGUAGCUUCACUUGGUUUGAACUGUGAAUUCAAAUUCAUGUUGUUAAUGUUAGUAAGUAAUAACAGAACUUUGUUUAUGCUCACAUAAUCGGCAUAAACGGGUUGAUUGAGAUAUCGAAUUGAUAUCAGAUAUGAAUUAUUGGUUACACUGUUUAAGAAUUAUAAGAUAAGACACUGAUUGCUAGAUGAGUUUCAACAUUUUCAUACUGAUAUUUGGACUAACAUUACUUUAUUUGGAUCCAAACGUUAGAGAUUCUUAUGCAAAUAAUGAAGUAAUUCGAUGUGUUCAUAUUGGGUUACUCUGUGUUUAGGGAAAUCCAGAUGAAAGACCCGCAAUGCAAACCAUAGUUCUCAUGCUAAGCAGUUACUCUGUUACCAUGUUAUUACCUCAAAAAGCCAGCAUUUGUUCUGCAUAGUUGAACUGAGCUGAACAUGCCAUCAUUUACAAGUACUGACUCAUCUGAUCAACCAACUAGCAAAUCAUUGUCAUUUUCUGUUAAUGAAGCCUCAAUUGCUGAAUUAUACUCGCGGUAGUCUAUAUCGAACAAAGCAUGAUCAAUCUUGCAGGACUGUACUUGGGAAGUUCUGUGAUUAUUGUUUCGUUUCUCUCUGCUUUUCCUGGUUGCUCUAGCUGUUCUGUUUUUUGUUAGUUUAGUUAGUCUGUGGUCCCUAGGGGCUCUGUGUUGGUUUGGUUACCAUUGUAGCAUUGUAUUUCUUGGCCUUUUAGGCUUUUGUACCUCUUUUUUUUUUGCUUAAUCCAAUGUUUUGAUCAAAUUUGACUUUAAAAUUCGUUAAAUGGCCAGUUUGUUUAUGAAAUUAGGAUCAAAUUCAUAUUAAAAAGUAAAUUAAGAACAUAAUUAACCUCUUGCUACAUGAAUAAAUUCAUUAAUAUUUAAACCUGAGUUUGGACAGACAUAAAAAGCUUCAGUUUACCCCAAAAUUAAAGAGUUAGCCUAAGCUUUGCCUCAAAAUUAAAGAGUUAGCCCAAUACGUAUUGAAAGAGUUUAGGUAGGGUGGGUCUCAAAUCAUGAGCUGGUUGGGUAAAUAUUUUUUUUUCACUGAUUCUUAUAAAUAUUUGCCAUAUUUUCACCACUCCAAAACUCUCAAAAUCCAAAUUCUACACCCAAGGACAAACUCAGGAAUUUUUAUAUGAGUGGGUAAAUAAAUUUACUUCUUAGGAGUGAAACGAAUUCAACAAUAUAUGAUUACAACAAUAUAUGAUUACGUAUCUCAUAUUUUUCUUUAUUGGUUUAUUAUAAUAGAGACAUCACUCAUUUAUAUAUAAACCUUCAUUGUUCCGUCCUUGUCUACACCUUCAUUGUUGGUGUGGAACAUCACUCAUUUAUAUAUAAACAAAUUAAAUACAAUGAUUGAUUCGUAUGCAACUAUGAAAACACUUUACCUGAAUGAUCUCAAUGUUCAAAUAAAUCAAAGAUAUUUUACCUAAAAUUAUUAAUUUCCUCUAAUAUCUUAUGUGACAUUAUUUUUGUCUCAUGAAUAUAAUCUAAAAUGAUACAUAGAAGAGUUAUGAUAUUGAUUUUCCUCACACAACUAUUGAAGCUGUCAAGAAAGCAAAAAAUGGAUGAAGCGAUUCAUCUUUAGGCUUCCAAUUAAACUUUAGAAAGCAAACAAAUUUCAUUAUAUUAUUUACCGUCAUGUUAAGGACAUGAGUGCGAAAAUACUGUGAGAUGUUCCUCACAAAAGUGGUAUGAAAAUUCUGAUGAUUAUGAAGAGUCAUGGAUCAUUGCAGUUAAAAGCUAGGUGGAUUAGGAUUAGGAUUCCCAAAUCUGCUGCUUCAUUAUUUAUUGAUUCAAGAGGAUUAGGCUUAAGAAUUGGGUUAAGCAAAAGCAAACAAAGCCCAUGAUAAGAUAUCAAAAACGAAAAAGUAAAUGUAAUUUUAGAUAGAGUCGAACAUAAGAAAUCUUAGGAUCACAAUGCAAUUUAAUUUGAAGUUUAAUGCCACUCAAAAAGUUUCAAACACAAGAAAGCAUUUUACUAAUACAUGAAACCAGAAAAGCAACACAUACAAUUCAGAACAGGAACCAGGCAAAGCCUCAAAAACGCAAAACACAAAUUAGCAAAAUUACAAUCAUGAUGGCAAUUAUGUUACAAGAAAUCACUCAUUACAUUGAUGACAAUUGACACUCCAAAAUCAAACAAAGAAAUACAUAAUGUGAAAUUCAGUAGAGAAUACAAAGACGAUAUUAACCAGAGAUUUCAAAGGCUUUGGCAUCAGGCUUCUUCGGAUUUUUCAAAUUUUUUCAAAAAGAAAUACCGGCUAUACUCGAUUUUUUUCCAAAUUUUUUUAAAAUAGUAUAGCCGCCCGGCUAUACUCGGUUUUUUCAAAUUUCAUUGAUAUCGACAUUCAUGACAACUGACACUCUAAAAUCAAACGCAGAAAUAGAUAAUGUGAAGUGCAUAUGCAGUAGAGAAUACAGAGACGAUAUUAACCAGAUAUUUCAAUGGCUUUGACAUCAGGCUUCUUCACCUUUGCCUUUGGAACAGUGACACUCAGAACCCCAUUCUCCAUUGCAGCCUUAAUCUCGUCCACCUUUGCAUUCUCAGGAAGCUGAAACCUCCUCAAGAACUUGCCGCUGCUGCGCUCCACUCUGUGCCACUUGUCAUUCUUGUCCUCCUUCUCUACGUUCCUCUCUCCGCUGAUCUGAAGAACCCUGUCGUCUGCAACCUCCACCUUCACCUCUUCUUUCUUCAGCCCCGGGAGGUCUGCCUUGAACACGUGGGCUUCUGGGGUCUCCUUCCAGUCGAUUCUGGUGUUCAGGAAAGUUGAUUUUUCCAGGGAAACUUCAGGGAAUGUGGAAAGUGAUGAGGAGGAAGGGAAUGGAAAAUCCUUUAAGGAGUCCCAGAGAUCGAGAGAGAAAGGGUCGAAAAUGCUGCCUCGUCGGAAGCUGGGGAUGAUCGACAUUGGAAAAAUUGAUGGGUUUUGUUUGGAUGCUGAGAAAGUUUGAGAAUUGUUGCUUUGCUUGACUGGUUGGGAAAGCAGAUGAUUGAAUGCGUAUUUAUACGGGGCCGAAGAGUUUUCUAGAAUAGACUGGGGCUUGCGUGUUUGUAUGGAUUUCUCUCAAACUUUCUAGGAUUCUCAGGUGGCUUCUUUGUGGGCUCGUAACAGUUGAUGAGUGAUGCACCCCCUGGAUGACGUAAGAGUUGGAAAAAGAACCGGUGAACCAGUUAAACCCGGGAGCGGUCCAGUCAUGUCCUAUUUAUUUCCAAAAUUAAUAGUCAAACCAAAUAAAAUAAUCUGUUUGAUUUGGUUUCCAUUAAGUACAACCCGUUUUAUUCGGUUUGGGUUUCGUUAGGCUUGUCCCAUCAUUACUUGAUGCCCAAAAGUAAUACUCAACUUCCCUAAAUUAAUUAAUCAAAAAAUUCAUAGAGAAAAAAAGAAAUGGAUGAUGGUGUUGGAAGCAUGGAUUGAGGAUAUGAGGGAGGGAGAUGAAGGAAGUUGAGACCGUGAUGAAGAUGAGGGAGGCUAUAAUUUUGGUAUUAAAUUCAUAAUAAGAAUGAGUUAUAUAUAUAUCAAUAUAUUGGUAGACAUUAUAUACUCGGUCCAAUUUUGUUUUUAAGUGGCAAAAUCAAGAACCGAACUGGUUCAAGUCAAAACCAAUUUUUUUAGUUUUUUUCGAUCUAGUUUGGUUCAACUUAUUGAUUUUCCAGUUCAAAUUCUCACCCAUAUAACCCAAUUUAGUUGCACUUUCACUUCCUUUAAGAUUGAGAGAACCGAAUUGAAACGGUCCUUGCUCUCUUUUUUGUAAAUAACUUAUAACUCAAGUGAUUAAAAGUAGUUAUUCUUGCACCCAAAAUCGUGUUUUGAAUCCCCCUCUCUAAUAUCACUUAUAUGAAACAAAAACAAAAUCUACUCAUAUCUUGCAUAAACCAUUUCAUAUGCCAUUUAAAUUCCCCACUAAAAGAACCAAAUUUAACCAUAAAGCAUUGAGGCAUUUCACACCUCCCUAUUAUACCUACAUUCCCAUAUAGAGUACUCGUUUCCUCAUUUGUGCCCGUCUAGUUACUUUUCCUUUUUCAUUUUUUCAACAUGUAGCCCAAUUACAAUCAAAAUAUUCACAACUUGAUACCCUUUUCUUCUCUUCAUUUUCUAGUGUAUCAAACCAUACUAAAAUUCAUCAUAUACCAUAAAACUUCAAAGUUCAAUAACUAAUAUAGCUACAAUUCAAAUAUCAAUAACUUCAAAGUUCCAUGAAACUUCAAAUUCAAUAUUCAUAUCUAGUGAUUAUCCAAUCAAAGUUCCAUCAAACUUCAAUUCAAAUAUCAUUUUUAUAUAUAAUAAAAAUGAACAUAUACAUAAGCAGACAAUCUGAUUCAGUUUAAGUCAAUUUGCAAAAGCUCAAAAUCAAACCGAACUAAAUCAUUUAUAGUUCAAAUAAGUUUUUAAAGUUUUUGACUUUUUCUUGAUAAAAACCAAAUCAAACAAAACUAGUAAUUUCGGUUUGAUUUGACCGGUUUAGUCGAUUGAACCAAAGUGACCUAAGAGUUUGCUUAUGGCUAGUAGGGAGUCAACGACUUUGAAAGUAGCAUGUCUUACGUUUAUGGCUCUCCUAUUUCAGUUUCCCUUUUCUUAGAGGUUGUAAGUGUUUCUUUUCUUGUCGGUAUCCAUUUUUUCCAUUGUGGUUUGGGCCAUUUUCCCAUUGUAUCUCAUAAGUCUACAUUUAUGUUUCCUUUCUUGCUGAUAUGGCAACGUAUAGUUUCAUGCCAGAAAUCAGAUUGAGAUGCAUCAUUGACCUGAAAUUAAAAUUGAAGUUCAUAUAAUAAUCUACUAAAAAUAAAAUUUACUAGAAUUAUCUCAAUCUUUAAAGAAAUCAAAGAGACUUUACCUGAAAUUGUUAGUUUCCUCUAAUAUCUUAUGUCAAAUUUGUCUUUUGAAUAUAAUCUCAAAUGAUACAUAGAGGAAUUAAGAUGAUAUUCAUCUUCCACACACAACUAUUGAAGCUGUAAGAAAGCAAUAGUCGAUAUUAAUGUUGGGAAGCAAAGUUUUUAUUAUUAUUUUUUACCGUCAUAUUAAGGACAUGAGUGCAAACAUACUGUGAGAUGUUCUUCACAAAAGUGGUAUGAAAAGUUGGAUAAAUGAUGAGAUUUAUUCAUGUCAAUUGCACAUAUUUGAGAAAAACUUAUAUGUGUUUUAAUAUCAACAAUCCUUGAAUUUAUGUCUGAGUUGGAGGAUGGAAAUUUAAAAACAAAUUAGAUGACCAAAAUAAAUGCUUUUUAACGGCAAUAGUCCUUGACUUUAUAUCCGAACUGCAGGAGAAAUUAUGCAAUAGUACCGUAGCACAGAUGAUGUGGUGCUGCGGCCCAGUAGUUUUUUGACACGCAAUAAAACCUUAACAUGUCAGCAAUUAAACUUAACUGAAGUUGUAAUGUUAGGCAACGUCGUUUGACGGUUUAAUCCCGUUUGCGUUUAACCCGAGUAGAUUCUUCUUUGAAGCUAAUCCCUAAUUGAAAUAUCUGAUAAUUCGUUGAAGCUCCUCAAAUUUAUUGCUUAUUCUCAAUCUUCUGAGGUGUUUGUGCAAUCUGGAGUCGGGUUUGAAAAAUCCUAACAUUCAAUCAGUUGUUCAUUUACAAGGCUAAGGAAGGACAGGCUGCGAUGGAGACUAGUUUGUUUUGUUUUUUUCCAGACCAGCCGCUGCAAAGCACCACGACGACCGCCUUGACUUCGUCGACAACCACAUUCAGAUCUUGAUUCCAACCAAAACAAUAUGAUAUCAUUCUCGAUUAUUAAAGAAAAAUAAACAACAAUGAAAUAAUCAAUCAAAACAUUCACAAUUUUGAACCAUGAAGAGCUUUUCCAAUUUUUCAAAUUUUGAAUUGUCAAAAAACAACCCCGUAUAGCCGUGCGGCUAUACUCGGAUUUUUCAAAUUUUUAAUAAAUUUCCCCAACCAAAAAAAACAGUACAGCCGUCCGGCUAUACUAGGAUUUUUCAAAUUUUUUAAUAAAUUUCCCCCAAAAAAACCUAGUAUAGCCGGGCGGCUAUACGCUGUUUUAGAAUUUGUUUUCAAAUUAGUUAAGCUGCUCGGCUUUACUGGGCUCUAUUUUUAUAUCUUUUUAUUAGUAAAUCGUUAAAAGAAAUAGGAUAGCCGCGCGGCUGUACCCGUCUCUUGUUCGUAGUAUAGCCGUCCAGCGACAUUCGGAUUUUUCGAAUUUUUUUUGUAUAGCCGAACAGCUAUACUUGGGUUUUCCUAAUUUUUCAAAAAAGAAUAGUAUAGCCGAUCGGCUAUACUCUGAUUUUUCAAAUUUUUUUUAAAUGAAUUAUAUGACCACAAUAAAACUUGGAUAUAAGUUCAUUAAUCAUUGCGAUUAAAAACUAGGUGACUGGGAUUGCUCAGUUAGGCACAUCUUUCCUGAACAGAACUGUACUGCGUAUGCUUUGAUCCUGGUCUGCAGAUUUUUGACAUGGCGUUAGCCUUCCUUGUGGAAAUUCUCGCUGCUGAUGCCUGUGGUGCUUCCAGGCCCCGUUUCUUUAGUGCUCAGUUGUUUUCUUUGCCUAAAAAACCAAACACAAAUUACGAUCCAUUUAUUAAAUUAAAAACCAACAAGUUACAAGCCAUUAUGUUACAACCACUCACACUCAUUUCAUUGAUAUCAACAUUCCAAAUUCAAACAUAGAAAUACAUAAUGUGAAGUGCAUGCAGUAGAGAAUACAGGGACGAUAUUAACCAGAGAUUUCAAUGGCUUUGACUUCAGCCUUCUUCACAUCUGCCUUUGGCACAGUGACACUCAGAACCCCAUUCUCCAUUGCAGCCUUAAUCUCGUCCAACUUUGCGUUUUCAGGAAGCUGAAACCUCCUCAAGAACUUGCCGCUGCUGCGCUCCACUCUGUGCCACUUGUCGUUCUUGUCCUCCUUCUCUACGUUCCUCUCUCCGCUGAUCUGAAGCACCCUAUUGUCUUCAACCUCCACCUUCACCUCUUCUUUCUUCAGCCCCGGAAGGUCGGCCUUGAACAAGUGGGCUUCCGGGGUCUCCUUCCAGUCGAUCCUCGUGUUCAGGAAAGCUGAAUUUUCGGAAAAUUCAGGGAAUGUGGAGAGUGAUGAAGAGGAAGGGAAUGGGAAAUCCUUGAAUGGGUCCCAGACAUCGAGAGAGAAAGGGUCGAAAAUGCUGCCUCGUCGGAAGCUGGGAAUGAUCGACAUAGGAAAAAUUGAUGGGUUUUGUUUGGAUGCUAAGAAAGUUUGAGAAUUUAAAUUGUUAAAGAGAAUUGCUGCUUUGCUUGAUUGGUUUGGGAAUGUAAAGGAUUGGUUGGGUAUUUAAAAGGAAGCCAAGAAUAUUCUAGUAAAGACUGGGCCUUGAAAACGCUUCUGUGAUUUCUCUGGAAAGUUCUAGGAUUCUCGUGAAUCUGUGGGCUCAUAACACAGUUAGACGAGUGAUGGACCACUGGACUUCAAAAUUCACUCAACCUACCCAGCACCAUUUUUGUAAAAUUUGAAAUUCAGUUUUUACCCUUCAAAGAAAAUUAAAAACUAAUGCGAUUCAUAUUGAAGGAACAUAAAAUAAUAUAAAUAUAAAAACUGAAUAUGAAUCAAGAAAUGGAAUAAUUAGGUGGUCUGACAAUGUUAUUUGAGGAUUUGCAUGUUUUUCAAAUCUUGAAUGAGAUUUUUUAAUUUUUUUUUUAAAAAUCGUAGUGUGGUCUAGUGUCGCGUGAAGAAUUAGCAUGAAUUGAGAAAAUUAAAAGUAAAAAUUGCGAGGUUGAUAGUAUUUCUUACUAAUUAUCUGGAAUAAGGGUAAAUACGAAACAGUACACAGCAAAAAGAAGCAGGAAAUAUAGAGGUAGGGUAAAAAAUAUGUAGUGCUACCUUGCACAUGCUGUGAGAAAACACUAUCAUCAUCAACUUCGUCGUCAUUAUCCUCAUCAUAAUCAUCAUCAGUCUCCUCAUUAUCAUCUUUGUGGGUUUGGGUUGAAUCUUCUUCAUGGGUUUGUGGUUAUAUGAAUCAAUGUGUGAGUGUAAAUAUAACGACGAUUCUUGCCAACAUGUAACGACUCUUUCAAAUUUUUUUAGUAAGGCCGGACGGCUAUACUCGGGUUUUCCCUAAUUUUUCAAAAAGAAAUUGUAUAGCCGAGCGGCUCUACUCGGAUUUUCAACUUUUUUUAAAAAGAAAUAGUAUAGCCGGGCGGCUAUACUCGGUUUUCCCUAAUUUUUGAAAAGAAAUAGAAUAGCCGCACGGCUAUACCGGGUUUUCCAUGCAGUGAGAAAACACUAUCAUCAUCAUCAUUAAUGUCGUCGUCUUCGUCAUUACCAUCAUCAUAAUCAUCAUCCUCUUGGUGGGUCUGGGUUGAAUCUUCUUCAUGGGUUUGUGGUUAUAUGAAUCAAUGUGUGAGUGUAAUAUAACAACGAUUCUUGCCAACACUAGCUUCCCUCGGUUUGAACACUGAAUUCAAAUCCAUGUUGUUAAUGUUAAUAAGUAAUAACAGAACUUUGUUUAUGCUCACAUAAUCGGCAUAAACGGGUUGAUUGAGAUAUCGAAUUGAUAUCAGAUGUGAAUUAUUGGUUACACUGUUUACGAAUUAUAAGAUGAGACACUGAUUGCUAGAUGAGUUUCAACAUUUUCAUACUGAUAUUUGGACUCACAUUACUUUAUUUGGAUCCAAAUGUAAGAGAUUCUUAUGCAAAUAAUGAAGUAAUUCGAUGUGUCCAUAUUGGUUUACUCUGUGUUCAGGAAAAUCCAGAUGCAAGACCCGCAAUGCGAACCAUAGUUCUCAUGCUAAGCCAGCAUUUGGAACCAUGGCAUUACCUCAAAAAGCCAGCAUUUUUCCUGCAUAGUUGAACUGACUCAUCUGAUCAAUCAACUAGCAAAUCAUUGUCAUUUUCUGUUAAUGAAGCCUCAAUAGCUGAAUUAUACCCGCGGUAGUCUAUAUCGAACAAAGCAUGAUGAAUCUUGCAGGACUGUACUUGGGAAGUUCUGUGAUUAUUGUUUCGUUUCUCUCUGCUUUUCAUGGUUGCUCUAGCUGUUCUGUUUCUUGUUAGUUUAGUUAGUCUGUGGUCCAUAGGGGCUCUGUGUUGGUUUGGUUACCUUUGUAGCAUUGUAUUUCUCGGCCUUCUUUUGCACCUUUUUUUUUUUACAAAAUUAGUUAAAUACUCAUUCCUAGACAUAAAACGAUAAAAAUACCCUAUACUAUUUAAUGUAUAUAAACACACCCAAAAUAAACCCAAAAAUCGACAGCUGUAUAUUUUUUAAUUUAAUUAUUAAGAUGAAAUACCUUUAUUACCUUUUUAACAUAAAAUUGGAAUUCUAAUCAACACCAGAUUAGAACUCAUUACACGACCUCCAGUCUCUCAUCUUUAUCUUCAACCCCAAUUUUCAGUUUUUGUUCUUCCACUUCAAUCUCAUCAUUGUUCUUCCACCUCAGUUUUUGUUCAAUCUCUUCAUUCUAAGCUUCGUUGGAGGGCUCGCCUGGGCCACCAACAAUGAUGCACUGGAGAAGGCCUUUCUCCAUUCGGUGAGAUCAUCGAAUCGCAGGGUCGUUCGACCUUUACUACUUGAUCUUCUGUUUCUCUAUGUUACUUGAUCUUUCUUUCCCAAAGAUUGAAGAUCGAUAGAUUCCUUUUCAUUUUUUGUUUAUUAUUGUGUAUUUGUUUGAUUAUACUCUGACGUUUUCGUUUUGACGGACGACUCUGAUUUGAUUUGGUUUCUUUUUGUGUUUCUAGAUCAUCAACGACCGUGAGACUGGGAGGUCCAGGGGCUUCGGCUUCGUCACCUUCAGCAAUGAGAACGCCAUGAGAGAUGCCCGAAGGCAUGAACGACCAGAACUUCGACGGUCGUAACAUACCGUAAAUGAGGCCCAGUCUUGUGGAAGCUAAAAUGAAAUGUUGUAAUAUGUAUGUGUCUACAUGUAUUGUAUUUUCAGCUGUGGAUAAGGAAUUUUUGGGAUUUUAGAUUUGCUGGCCAAGUUUCCUCUAAAUUCUAUAAAGAUGAAGCAGCCAUUCUGUAUGCAACCUUGGGAUUCUUCUCCAAUGAUUGUCAAGAAACUGUUCAAGGUAUGUGAAUUUCAAACUAUUGGAGGCCUGAUUUUGUUAAGUUCUUUUACAAAUAUAGGACAUCGUUCGUGAAAGAUGUCAUAUGCUCUAUCUAUUAUUGCAUUUGCUUUUUCAUAUUUAUGAGGUCUGUUUUCUUAUUCAUGAUUAUACGACCUCUAAAAGCUUGGAAUAAUUAUUUUGUGCUCGCUAAUACUGCCUAAUGGUCUCUCAUUACUCUUACCAUUCUUUUUCGUCUACGCUCUCAUUGCAUAGAUUGAAGUCAUAGGUUGUUCUUGCAGAGAUGUUAUGAGAUUUGAUUAUCAACACAUCUGUAUUCUGCAAGUUAAGUGCUAUCCAAAUUCCAAAAGGACGACCUUGGCUUUGAAAAGUGGAAAAAUUGUCUGUAUACUAUGGGUAAUGGGUUAGUUAGGUUCUGGGUCACAGUAAAAAACAAGCUAGAAACUUCAAGCAUAGAAGAGUUGAUUGCAAACCAUGCAUCAAUUUGGCAAGUAGAGCUUUGCCAUCUGUUAUGUGAAUGGGAGGGGUUCAUUUGUCCAAUACAUUCCCAUAUUCCAAUUGGGUUGUAGCUUUGUCCAAUCAAUCUCAUGGCUUCGUAGGUGGUUCCACCAUUUUAGUCCAACAAAUGAAAAAUUGAGACUUCAAUGGGUAAUCAAAAUUUGGUGUGGAAAUAUAUAGGAGGCUGUCAAUUUGGUGGAAUCGGUAAAGGUUUUGGUAAGAUUUUGUCAAGCUGUUGAAACUCUGUACACUAGGGACUACCUGCGUAGACCUACUCCCAGGGACCUCCAACGGCUUCUGCAAAAAGCCGAAGCUCGAGGAUUCCCUGGAAUGAUUGGUAGCAUCGACUGCAUGCAUUGGCAAUGGAAGAAUUGCCCAACUGCCUGGCAAGGUGAUUAUGGAAAUCGAAAAGGCCAAAAAAGUAUCAUCCUUGAAGCGGUUGCUGGUUUCGACACAUGGGUUUGGCAUGCCUUCUUCGGAGUUGCAGGAUCACAAAAUGACCUCAACGUGCUGGGUCAAUCCCCCGUCUUCAACGAUGUAUUGAGAGGUCAGGGCCCCAAUGUCACCUAUGAAGUCAACAAUACAGUAUACCAGACAGGAUACUACCUAGCUGAUGGAAUCUACCCGAGGUGGACGACUUUUGUCAAAACCAUUCCAAAUCCCCGAUCCCAGAAGCAAAAAUUAUUUGCUACAUAUCAAGAGGGAUACAGGAAAGAUGUCGAAAGGUGUUUUGGCAUCCUUCAAGCCAGGUGGUUGAUUAUUCGAGGUGCGGCCCGCAUGUUUGAUGAGGAGAUCAUCAGAAGCAUUAUGAUGACUUGCAUCAUCCUCCAUAAUAUGAUUGUGGAGGAUGAGUACGAUUAUGAUGCUUUAGAGGUCUACGAACCGGAUCCAAUGAACACGGCUUUGACACGGAUUUAUGAAAGGCCCAUGGGGCCAAAUGGAGAACCGUUUGAGCCGGAACCGUUGGUGAGGGAUGGUCAUUUGAUGACCCGAAUGAUAGAUCGAUAUACGGAGAUGCAAUCUUCGUAUAUUCAUGAAAUGCGUCAAUUUCACUUGAUGGAGCAUCUAUGGGCGGUGAAAGGCAAUGAAGAUUAAUGAUGGAGAAUAGAUGCUUUGCUUAUGUUUUAUUUAGUAUGGUUUGGUUGUGUUUUUAUUUUUAUUGUGCCUUGUUUGUACUUUUAUUUUUAUUAUUGUGCCUUGUUUGUACUUUUAAUUUUAUUUUUAUUAUGUUUUGUUUGAAGUAUGGAAUAUGUUGAAUAAAAAGGUAAUUUAUUGAAUGCUUUGUUUAUUAAAUAAUGAAAUGUAAUACAAGUCAUUAUGAAUUACUAAUAAAAUAAAAUACAUGAAUUAUAACAACUUUAAUAGAAAACAACUAAAAUACAAAUACAUAAAAGAUAUGCUAACUAAUUUAAUGGUUUCCAUCAUUUAACCAAUCCGUGUUGCUAGCCCAUCAUCCCGGAAAAGUCUUCUUCUCAUAACAUCCCUUCGUUCUAGCUUCCAAAAUUGUUUUUGUUUCAGGGGACAUAUGAACUUGUAUCCAUUCGCCAUGGUUUCCCGAAUCUGUCUUGUCCCUAUCUUUUUUUGCGCAAAAANNNNNNNNNNNNNNNNNNNNNNNNNNNNNNNNNNNNNNNNNNNNNNNNNNNNNNNNNNNNNNNNNNNNNNNNNNNNNNNNNNNNNNNNNNNNNNNNNNNNCUCGGUAGUACGAUUUGCCCACUUCUAUAGUUGUCAUCGCUUUGGUAGGGCAUUUCUCAUUUUCCCAACUCUUUAUUGAGAAUUUUUCCACCUACUGGAUAAUGUCAUCUCCGUACGAGUAGACCCCGGAAUUUUUUCACAAAAUUCGGCAUGAAUUUUUUUCCACAUAUGAAAAAAUUUCAUUUCAUUGCCGGACACGGGACAAUGACAAAUUUGGAGCCAAGCCUCACACAAAGAAACAUCUUCCAUUGUGCUCCAAGCCCCUCCGGUUUCGAUAGAAGAAGCCAUAAAAAUAUGAAAUCAAAAUGCUAGAUGAAAAAGAGGAAAAUAUUGUGUAAAAAGAGUGAAUAUUAGUAGAAGUAUAAUGAAAUGUAAGAGUAUUGGUGUUGAAAGUGAAGGGUAUUGAUAGGUAUUUAUAGAAAAAAAUAUCAGAAUUUUUUAGAAUUUUUUAGAAUUUUUUUUCAUAUUUUUUUCACCCAAAAAAGCCUCAGCCGUUGGAUUAGAAAGGAGAAGCAGAUCGGAAGGCGCUGAGCGCGACACGUGGCAGCGUACCGUUGGCGCUGGCGUCAGCGCUGACGUCAGCGCGCGCUGAUUCAAAACUUUUUUACCGUUGGCGCGUGCAGCUGACGUCAGCGUGACGCCAGCGCUGACGUCAUUACCCGCGUUUUGGACCUGGGGCUGGUUUGGCCUUCGGGCUGGCCCGAGUUGGUGGGUCCCACACCAAACCCGGGCCUGGGCUGCACGCUGGAGCGAAAUUUUUUUUUUUUUUCUGCCCUUGCCUCGGGCUGGGCUCCUUCGCUGGAGCCACUCUAAUAGUUGACGAAUCAUGGACCACAUGAACGUUUGAGGGGGAAAAAAAGAACCGGUGAAACAGUUAAACCGACCGAAUUUGACUGAACCAUCCCAUUUGAUUUGUUUGCCUUUUCCAAAAUGUCCCAUAAAACAAUCAGUCUGAUUCACUUGGGAUUUGUUGGUCCGACUGGUUCUAUUCGAUUUGAGUUUUGCAUUGACUUAAAUUUUUUGUUAAGCUUGUCCCUUCAGAAACCCAAAAAUAAUACUCAACUCUCCUAAAUUAAUCAAUCCAUGAAUUUAUAAAGAUAAAAACAAAAAGAUGGUGGAUGACGGUGUUGAAAGCAUGAAUGGAGGAUAUAAGACCAUGAGGGAUAUGAAGGAAGUUGAGAUCAUGAUGAAGAUAAGGGAGGAUCGGACCGUGAUGAAUAUAAGGGAGGAUCAGACCGUGAUGAAUAUAAGUGAGGCUAAGAAAGAUGAUGAGGCUAUAAUUUUGGUAUUAAAUUCAUAAUAAAAUUGACUUAGACAUAUAUAUUAAUAUAUUGGCCAACAUUACUUGGUCUGGUUCUGUCUUUAAAUGGCAAAAUUGAGAACCAAAUCGGUUCAAUUCAAAAUUAAUUUUCCAAUUUUUAAAAAUUUGGUUUGAUUUAGUUCCUCAAUUUUCUAAUUGAAAUGCCCACCCCUAUAACCUAGUUUAACUGCACCUUCACUUCCCUUAAGACCGAGUGAACCAAAUUCGACUAAGUUUUUUUUUACAAGAGACUUGUAAUUUAAGUAAUAAGAGUAAUUAUUCAUGCACUCAAAGUCCUUUGCUUGAAUCCCCCUCUUCAAUAUCCCUUAUAUGAAAAAGAAAAAAAAACUACUCUCACACAAACCAUUUUAUAUGCAAUUUAAAAAGUAUUGAGGGAUUCCACACCUCCCUAAACAUGAACUAUGAUCAAUAUGGUUGGGGCACAGUUAAAAUUGAAUCAUUUUUACCAAAAAAUUGCAAUCGAACUAAUUACAAUAUGAUAAUUUAAUUUGAUUUGAUUUUGACAAAAAUCAAAGAGAAACUGAACGAAUCGCGAUGGAACACAAUUGAAUCAUUAUUUCCCUGCACCAUUAAAGCUCGAUGGUCCAAAGCUACCGUCAACCAUGUAUUUAGUUGUCCACAUUGAAGCCAAAGCAAACUACUCAUUUCAUUAUUCAUGACAUUUUUCACACACAAAAUACAAAUUACAAUGAAAAGUUGCUCCAGUCUCCAACAUAUCCAUCAUUUGAUUUUACAAUUUUAAUAUUCUGAAGAAUAUAUAGAUGGCCUCAAAUUCUCAAUUUCAACCAGAGAUUUCAAUGGCUUUGGCAUGAGGCUUCUUCACCUCUGUCUUGGGAACAGUGACACUCAGAACCCCAUUCUCCAUUGCAGCCUUAAUCUCAUUUACCUUGGCAUUCUCAGGAAGCUGAAACCUCCUCAAGAACUUGCCGCUGCUGCGCUCCACCCUGUGCCACUUGUCGUUCUUGUCCUCCUUCUCUACAUUCCUCUCUCCACUGAUCUGAAGCACCCUGUCGUCUUCAACCUCCACCUUCACCUCUUCUUUCUUCAGCCCCGGAAUGUCAGCCUUGAACACAUGAGCUUCUGGGGUCUCCUUCCAGUCUAUUCUAGUGUUCAGAAAAGCAGAAUUUUCCCGGGAAAAUUCAGGGAAUGUGGAGAGUGAUGAGGAGGAAGG
rnacentral:lncRNA from 1 species